CCAACUCCCUUGGCGGCAUUGCCUGUUCUAAAUUUGAUCAAUUAGCAAAAACAAUGACACGUUAACAACUUUGUUCCUGGUGAUAAAGGCUAGAUCUUCAGAAUGUUGUAUACACAGGAAGUGCAUAAAGAUUAGACACAAAAAUUGCAAGACAACAUAAACAAACAGAAGACUCAUUGAACCCUAGCACAUAGGAAACCAACUCCAUAGAUAAUCAAUUGGUAGGCGCAUGCAACAGGAAAGAAAUGGUAAUACACAUAAAAAGGCUGAAGGUACAUAUAUAUUUUACUGACCCUCUCAUGAAUCUAGAAAGAAAAGUCUGAUCAAACAGCAUUAGACGCAUCAGUGAAGAGAGAAAACAUAGUCAACAUACAAAGGGAACAAUGUUUUUCAUUGUAAAGAAGGGAAGGCUUCGUAAAUUCCUAAAUGGGAGGGUAGUAUUUCUGUUUAGGCAUCUAUUCUGCAAUUUAUUAGCGAGUAACUAAAUAGUAAAAGUCUGUGUUUUUUUUGUGAGUAAGUGAUUAAUCUGCAUAUAUCAGUGAGGUACAGAACAGGAAUUGAGCCUGGUAACAAACCCGCACUCAGUAAAUUUGUAAUUGUUGUGACCAAGAAGCAAGCAGAAAAAUAGCUGAACCUUAGAACUUAUAUUAGAAAAAGUAGAGAUCAAAUGCAUAUACCAAAGCAGGAGCCGUUCCAUAAUCUAACACAACAAUCUAAUUUGUUCUAUAGGAGGGGUUUUCACCUUUUGGUCUUAGAGGGGUCAGGAAGCAUGUUCUUUGGAUCCUCAGCAGAUGCACUUUCAGUUUCCUCUCCAACCUGUAUAAUUUGGUGUUAUCAAAGAUCAUUGUACAUCAAGCAUGAUCUAUGCAGAAUGGGUAUGAUAUCUGCAUAUUAAGCAUAGGCACGAACAUUUAGCACGGAUGCAGGCUGAACAAUAUUUUCAGCAGUGGCACCUUCUUCAGUCUGAGAGGCCACUUUGAUAGCA
rnacentral:lncRNA from 1 species